GAGCAAGUGCAUCAAAUUUUAUAAAUGAUGAAUCACUUGCAUUGAAGGUUGGCAACAGUACCCAUAUAGUGAUUCUCCGUGCCUUUCAAAUGCACUCAGUUUUGAUUACGGCCUCGAACAAAUCACUACAUU